GAAAAAUAACGAUACGGGACUCAUCCGAGGCCCCGUAAUCGGAAUGAGUACACUUUAAAUCCUUUAACGAGUAUCCAUUGGAGGGCAAGUCUGGUGCCAGCAGCCGCGGUAAUUCCAGCUCCAAUAGCGUAUAUUAAAGUUGUUGCGGUUAAAAAGCUCGUAGUUGGACUUGUGUCCCGGGCUGUCGGUUCACCGCCCGUCGGUGUCUAACUGGCGUGUCCCGGGACGUCCUGCCGGUGGUGGCGAGUCGAAAGGUCGCCCUCGUGGAGGCCUGGAGGCGGACCCCGAUUAAAUCCUACCGCGGUGCUCUUCACCGAGUGUCGAGGUGGGCCGGCACGUUUACUUUGAACAAAUUAGAGUGCUUAAAGCAGGCCGGUCGCGCCUGAAUACUGUGUGCAUGGAAUAAUGGAAUAGGACCUCGGUUCUAUUUUGUUGGUUUUCGGAACCCGAGGUAAUGAUUAAUAGGGACAGUCGGGGGCAUUCGUAUUGCGACGUUAGAGGUGAAAUUCUUGGAUCGUCGCAAGACGAACCGAAGCGAAAGCAUUUGCCAAGUAUGUUUUCAUUAAUCAAGAACGAAAGUUAGAGGUUCGAAGGCGAUCAGAUACCGCCCUAGUUCUAACCAUAAACGAUGCCAGCUAGCGAUCCGCCGAAGUUCCUCCGAUGACUCGGCGGGCAGCUCUCGGGAAACCAAAGCUUUUGGGUUCCGGGGGAAGUAUGGUUGCAAAGCUGAAACUUAAAGGAAUUGACGGAAGGGCACCACCAGGAGUGGAGCCUGCGGCUUAAUUUGACUCAACACGGGAAACCUCACCAGGCCCGGACACUGGAAGGAUUGACAGAUUGAGAGCUCUUUCUUGAUUCAGUGGGUGGUGGUGCAUGGCCGUUCUUAGUUGGUGGAGCGAUUUGUCUGGUUAAUUCCGAUAACGAACGAGACUMUAGCCUGCUAAAUAGUCGUUUCGGUAU
rnacentral:rRNA from 1 species